rnacentral:rRNA from 1 species
GCGGUUACCCCGCAAGGGGUAACUGAGUGGCAAACGGGUGAGUAACACGUGGGUGACCUGCCUUCGAGUGGGGGAUAACGUCCCGAAAGGGACGCUAAUACCGCAUGACAUCCUGCCUUUGGAAAGGUGGAGAUCAAAGCUGGGGAUCGCAAGACCUGGCGCUUGAAGAGGGGCCCGCGGCUGAUUAGCUAGUUGGUGAGGUAACGGCUCACCAAGGCUCCGAUCAGUAUCCGGCCUGAGAGGGCGGACGGACACACUGGGACUGAGACACGGCCCAGACUCCUACGGGAGGCAGCAGUGGGGAAUUGUUCGCAAUGGGCGAAAGCCUGACGACGCAACGCCGCGUGGAGGACGAAGAUCUUCGGGUCGUAAACUCCUGUCGAGCGGGAAGAAUACCAUUCGGGUCAAUACCUUGAAUGGCUGACGGUACCGCUAAAGGAAGCCCCGGCUAACUCCGUGCCAGCAGCCGCGGUAAUACGGGGGGGGCAAGCGUUGUUCGGAAUUACUGGGCGUAAAGGGCUCGUAGGCGGCCAACUAAGUCCGACGUGAAAUCCCCAGGCUCAACCUGGGAACUGCGUCGGAUACUGGAUGGCUUGAAUUCGGGAGAGGGAUGCAGAAUUCCAGGUGUAGCGGUGAAAUGCGUAGAUAUCUGGAGGAAUACCGGUGGCGAAGGCGGCAUCCUGGACCGACAUUGACGCUGAUGAGCGAAAGCUAGGGGAGCAAAACGGGAAUUAGAUA